UCCUACACCAAUUUUUCAUAAAAGUUCUAUCACAAAUUAACGAAAAAAUGAAAAGAAAAUAGGGGGUUGAAUAGUUCCUAGUGAAAUGCCAGUCAGUUGUGGUCUGCUACCCUAAAAAUGGCGCAUAUUUGCUCUCCUCCGCGCAAUAAACACCUACUUCCGGUUUCGAUCUGCAAAACUUGCCAUGUGGGUUGUAUGAACAUGAAAACCGUCUCAUUUCAUGCAGAAUGUAUUCUAGUAGCGAAAAAGUGUGAUUAAAGCACUCGUUCUACACGAAUUUGCGCAGAAAAUGGGAAAAUUAGGAUCUAUUUAUUAUGGACUUCUUUCGACUACACCACGGAAGCACAUUUUCGACCGAAUUACUGACCUUACUCCUUCAUGUUGUUGAUCGGAGUUUUUAAAAUUCGUGGAAGUAUUUAAAAUGCGCCCUGUACAGAUUAUAUGUCAAAUCAUGGCUUCUCCACCUGUUUCCAUGUUGUCUGCUGUUGGAAGAACAUCUAUGAGGGACUGUGAAUAGAAUCUUUAUCUUCUGCUUAUAUACAACACUUACUCAUGGGCCAGUGGCACAAUUUCUAGCUGUACAAGGAUAUCAUGGUGUUUGUAAGUAAGUUGAUGACAAUGAAACUAAUGACCAUGUUAACAUCAGAGGAAAAGCAAACUGGGAGAAGAAAGGACAACAUUGUUUUCGAUCUUGAAGGCCUGCGUAGACAUAGGACCAGGAAGGGGAGCUAGGAGUGGGAGAAGUGCCUGUGACUGAUAUAUAUGCACUAUCAGAUAGAAAUCCAGUUCAAAAGGAAAUCUGAAAUAGUGAAAUAGCAGAAAUCAUGACUUACAUACUGUGUAAUCUGCUCUAAAACACAAACACUUGAAUUUAAAAUGUGUUAAAUGCAAAACAGUUCUACUUACAAAAUGAAUCUUUCAGUAAAUUCUAAAUGCAGCUGAAAAGUGAUAUACAUGAAAUGUGUGAAAACAGUGCAAGUUAAGUUUGAUUUUUUGUUGUAUACAAAACUGAAGAACUUUUAUCCAAUUCAUUUUCUGGAUGCACAGUGUUAUUGGAAUUUUUUUCAGAUAAUUUAAAAUUCUACAAGGUGAAGAUAUUUCAAAUAGUAUCUUGAGAAAAAAAGUUUGCACAAUGAAUUGUUUUUCAAAAAUU